ensembl:lncRNA calphotin-like
AGAUGGAAAAGGCUGCUGUGUUUUACUACAGCAGGAGCAGAGUUGGGGGUUCGCCACGUGCUCCAAAAAGUGCGCAGUCGAGGAAAGUGGGAGUGAUGAUGAUGAUGAUGAUGAUGAUGGUGGAGUGGUUGCGUAACGCACGCGCACCAUCCCGUCAGUCAGUCAGUAACAGCCGUCUGCUCGUGCUGGCCUGUUCGAGGAAGCGCGUGCGUAUUCAAUUCUGUGAAAAACGCCCCCCAUCUUCCGCCCCGUUCCUCCUAUAGGCUCAGUGCAAAGGUAUCGCAGAGCCGGGGGUGGCUUUAAAAACAUCCACUGUGCUCAUUCUGCCUCGCUGCCCGUCUUUCUCUCCCUCGGCUGUCUCUCGUUGGCGUACAGAGCGCACCAAAGAUGCCCAGCAAAAGCAAGAAAAACAAGCGCCGCAUGAAAAGGGCGAGAGCCCUGAAGGCGGUUCUUGAAGAGCAACAUGCAGCUAAGACACCAGUCAAAGCCAGCCGUGGGCUUGCUGUCGGUGCACCCCCUGCAACAAACCAAAAGAAACCAGUUAAAAAACCUACUCCUGCUCCAGCGCCAACACCAUGCCUGGCCCCUACUCUAGCCUCAGCUUCAGCUCCAACUCCAUGCCUGGCUCCAUCCCCAGCUCCAGUUGCAGAACAAGUUCCUGCUAAGAUUGUAGAACCCAUUCCCGUUGCUGUUCCCAUUGUGGAAGUCGCCAAAGUUGAACCAAAACCCAUUGUGCCAGAACCUGUUGCAGAGCCUGUCCCAUGUGAGAUAAAGUUGCCCGAGCCCGUUUUGAUUGAAGAGACUCCAGUUGAGGUAAAGUUGCCGGAGCCCGUUUUGAUUGAAGAAACUCCAGUUGAGGUAAUGUCGCCGGAGCCUGUUUUGAUUGAAGAGACUCCAGUUGAGGUAAAGUCGCCGGAGCCUGUUUUGAUUGAAGAGACUCCAGUUGAGGUAAAGUCGCCGGAGCCUGUUUUGAUUGAAGAGACUCCAGUAGAGGUGGAAGACAAAAUCCCAGCACCCGUCACUGAAGACGAAAAAGUUAUUUCGACGCAACAAGUUUUGGAACCUCCUACAGCGGAAGUUGUUGUGGAACUCAAGACUGAACAGGUCAUUCCUGAACCAGAAACAGUCCCAGAGCAGGUCUCACCUUUAGCUGAGGCUGCAGUGGAGACUCCUGCUCAGACAGAGGUUCCAACAUUUGAGACCACAGUUCUACUAAAGGAGGCUGAACAGAAGCUUGAUGUGUGUGAACCAGAGGUUGAAGUUGAAGUCUCUGUGGAGCAAGUGGAAGUGACUGAGGUGGAAGCAGAGCAGACUCCGGCAGCAGAGCCCGUGACAGAAGCUGAAGAACCCACAGUGGAAGCACCAUCAGACGACCAGGUAUCGUCUGAUGCAGUGGAAGUGGUCACAGAAAUCGUCCCCGACACAGAGGCAGUGGAGGAUAUCACAGAGAUACCCAAGUGUGUGACAGAAGCAGCUGCUCUGAAGGAGGAAGACGAAGAGGAAGCUGAAGCUGAAGUGGAAGUGUUGCCUGAAGGAGACACAACUCAAGCUUCUGCAGAGCUUGUUACAGAGACAGAGGAUGUACCAAUCCAGUGUGUGGAAGUCCCAGAGGUGCCAAGUAUCAUCGCAGAGGAGAAGAAAGAAGAGGCUGAAGCUCCCGUUACAGAAGUUAAACAGCUCAUUGAAGACUCGCUGGUUGAAAACCUGACUGUCACUGAACCUCCAACAGUAAUUGAGUGUGAAAUCACUGAGUCUGCAGUUGUUCAACAGGAACCCGUGGCCGUUGCUGAUGCCCUCGCCGUGCAAACAGAAUGUGUGGUGGAGCCUCCUGCUGAGCCUGAGCCUGAGCCCAUUGUUGCACCUACAGAGGAAGUAGUCAGUGAUUGUGGCAUUGACCUGCUGCCAGAGGAGCCCAUGUCAAAUGUCUGUGACAUGGCAUGUCCGAUGCAGCUCUCUGUGGACUCUGUGCAGCUCAGCUCAGUGGAGAUGUCCAUGGACACAGUGCUGUCUGCACACAUGGCCCCAGAGGUUCCCAUCGAGGGUUAGAUGAUGAUCCAUACCAAACAACUUCUCUUUAUUCCCUUUCGGUCAUUUGGAAGACAUGCUACCUGACUUGAAGUCAUCCAGAUGAGAUUUUUCAUUCUUGAGGCUUAGUAAGGGACCAUCAGGAAAUCUAAGGGAUAUCCAUGCUUUGAAGUGCCUUUUCCUGGCCUUGGUUUUUGUUAUAUUAGAAAUAACAUCGAUGUGCAAAAAACAGGAGGGAAACAACAUACAUUCAAGGCCAUGCAUUUCACCAUUAAAUCAGUUUACCAACACAUACAAAUAUGUAGGAGGAAGAAAAGAAAGCAGAAGAGGUGAAAAUUUGACUUGAUAAUCCUGUUCCUUCACUCUGUGCAUGUGAGAACUCAACACGUAAACUCACAAGAGACAGAAAACCAGUUUUAUUUUCAUCCUACUUCACAUAAACUCAAUUUUUACCCUCUUUUCUGACCUUCGAUCAUCUGCUUCAGCUAUGUGCCAACGCUAAAGCGAGUGUGAUACUAAAAUCUAUAUCGCCAAAGCCUGAGUUUUCAGCUUGAGAGACUGAUGAGUGACAGGUUCUUCAGAGGAUUAACCCACAUGUCUUUUUAAAGAUCCUUUUCCCACCGUUUUUUCUUCUUUUUUUGUAAUUGAUUUUGUAUAGAUCUAAUGAUGUGCUACAGUUUUGUGUUCAAAGAUCAUGUUGUGGGAAAGAUGAUUUGAAUUAGGUUUGUAAGUUGGUUGGUUGGUUGACCUUUGAAAUAAAGCUGUAAUUCAUCUGGAUUCA